rnacentral:miRNA from 1 species
GGAUGAGAUUGAGUGAGAGAAUGAGAAGAUGAGAGGAGAGGAUGUGAGGGAAGAGUAACAAAAGUGAAAACAAUUUCAAAUAGAUUCAGUUUUUAGUUUUUAUUUUCCCUUUUGUUAGUCCUUUCUCUCUCCUCCCCUCUCAUCUUCCCUCUCAAUCUCAUCUUCACUCU